rnacentral:rRNA from 1 species
GUUGAACGCUGGCGGCAGGCUUAACACAUGCAAGUCGAGCGGGGUGAUGGUGCUUGCACUAUCACUUAGCGGCGGACGGGUGAGUUAUGCUUAGGAAUCUGCCUAUUAGUGGGGGACAACAUCUCGAAAGGGAUGCUAAUACCGCGUACGUCCUACGGGAGAAAGCAGGGGAUCACUUGUGACCUUGCGCUAAUAGAUGAGCCUAAGUCGGAUUAGCUAGUUGGUGGGGUAAAGGCCUACCAAGGCGACGAUCUGCAGCGGGUCUGAGAGGAUGAUCCGCCACACUGGGACUGAGACACGGCCCAGACUCCUACGGGAGGCAGCAGUGGGGAAUAUUGGACAAUGGGGGGAACCCUGAUCCAGCCAUGCCGCGUGUGUGAAGAAGGCCUUAUGGUUGUAAAGCACUUUAAGCGAGGAGGAGGCUCUUUUGGUUAAUACCCAAGAUGAGUGGACGUUACUCGCAGAAUAAGCACCGGCUAACUCUGUGCCAGCAGCCGCAGUAA